UACGGGGGGGGCAAGCGUUGUUCGGAAUUACUGGGCGUAAAGGGCGCGUAGGCGGGUGGACAAGUCUCCCGGGAAAGCCCACGGCUCAACCGUGGAAUUGCGGGAGAUACCGUCUGUCUUGAGUCCGGGAGAGGAGGGUGGAAUUCCCAGUGUAGCGGUGAAAUGCGUAGAUAUUGGGAGGAACACCGGUGGCGAAGGCGGCUCUCUGGACCGGUACGGACGCUGAGGCGCGAAAGCUGGGGGAGUAAUCGGG
rnacentral:rRNA from 1 species